GCGAAAUGAAUAACACGAUCAGAACAGUGAUAUAAAUCUCUGGCACGGAUUAUCGAAGGCAGUGCAUCGUCGACCUGGUUUCAAGGAAGAACCAUUAAGCAGAGUAUGUAGUUUUGGCAAAAAUACCUUGUUUAUAGCAAAGAAAAUGAAAUUCACGAUACCAUAAGGAACCAUCUCUCUUUACACUCUCCAUAAAUGCAAGUUCGCGUUCGGAGAAUUUAACUAACACAGCAGCGGGCUUUUCUAUCGACCUGACACAAGAGCUUCUUUCAGCGACUGCGUCAUCUAAACGUUAGCGCUGCGCAUCUACUACUCGAUGAUUUCCUCUACAAGAGCACUACUCACACAUCCGUCGAUUUUGCAAAUUUUAAACAUCAACUUUAAUUUUUAAAGAUAG